AACCCCAUUGUUUAGGAUUUUCAUGGAGGUUCCGUUAUGAAGAAUCUUAUUCAUCCAGACAGAAGAGGAGAACAAGCCUCGGAGCACCCCCAGGAGCUCUCCUGAAGCCGCCAGGAAUGGAGGAGCUCGCUUGGAAUCAGAGGCCCGUGUUCCCAACCCAGGGCUGCCCCUGCUGGAGAUGUGACCUCGGGCAGGCACACUGGGAAGCCUCUGGAAGCCCAGGCCUGCACGCGUGAAAGGGAGGAUCUGCUGCAUCAGCCCAGGUGCCAGCCAGGGAAGGCUCUUGCAGAACUGGAGGCAUCCACAGGCUGUCUUCCGCACCUGAACAAGGCCCUCGUGGGGGGACUCCGCUGGCUCCGCCACUGCCUCUCCAUCCUUGAGUGACUUCCUAAGCCCACACCCAGGCUUCCAGGGCUCCUCUGAGAGCCCCCUGAAUGCAGGCGAGCUCCUCUAGUCACCCCUCUCUCUUGCCCUUCUUUAUUCCUCCAUGCCAGUUUACUCGCUCCCCAAAACAAAUCUUACCCUUUCACAGUUGACCUUAGUGGCCCUUGAGUCCAGAGCCACUGAAAUUCUGUAUCGGUUCCUCUUCCCUCCAGGACAAGGAGAGCUUAACUUCCUAUGUUAUGAGGCAGGGGAUAAUUACAUGCCAUCCUUCCAGCAGAGCAAAGAAAAUGAUUUAAAAAAAAAAAGUUUCACAUUAAAACAGGCAGAACAUUUCUAUUCUGCCAAUAUUUUAAUCCAUUGACUUUUUUUUAAGCGCCUACUGUAUGCCUGCUCAACGAGCUGGGCUCUGAUAAGCGAGCUCAACCCCUCCCUGAGUGCGCUGGGAAGAGUGCCACCCAGUAAGGGAGCUCUGAGCAGUUAGGGUGGCAGCCAGUGGUGUGGACACGUGGGGCCCAGGCCAGCAGCCCAGGAUCAGACACUCACAUGUCCUCAGGAAGUCACUGGGUAUCAGGCCUUGGGCUGGGCAGAAGUGGGACUAGAGACAGAGCAGGGUGUCCUACGAGGAAGCUGGCAGCAGGAGGACCUCAGGGCAGUCCGGACCAGCUCAUGCUUGGGGGCUGCUUCAGGGGAGCCUUUUGGCUGGGCCAAGGGGGCUGGCUAGGAGGACUUGGACAGAAGGAUGGGUCCAAAGGGCUCUGGGGUUCAAGAGAGCACCACUGAGGGAACCGCCCAACCUCACUCAGAGACCAGAUCACGCCCAGCUAUUGGGGGGAUGGUAGAACAGAACAAAUGCCAUGCACGGAGUGCCAAGGGCUCCCCAUGAGUGUGCAGGAUUCCCAGAAGGGUCCUGAAUGGGAAUGGCAGCAUUGGAGGAAGAAGCCUAAUAAGACCUCCUCCAAUUUUCUGUGCAUCCAUAAAAGCUGCUCCAGUCAGCCACCACUGACGGGCAGGAUCCAAAGAGCGGGGAAAGGAAUGCAUUGUUCACAUAUUCUCUGGAGAACAAAUAAUCCCACAGUGAUUCUGAAGAACAGUCAGCGAUGUUUGAUUUAAGAGUGGCAAGGUACAACUCACAGCUCAUUUUCCCUGCGGGGACGCUGCUCUUAAUCCUCUUCCCCCUCAUGCUAACUUUGAAUUCUGGGAGGUGACCCUGGCCAAGCAUUUAAGUUCUGUUAACAUAAUAAAUGCUUGUUAUCAACUACCUUCAAAUUCAGAGGAAAGGGGGGUAAUUUUCAAGCAUCUCCUGAGUACCUCUGAGAAGAAAUCGGCUGGCAAAU
rnacentral:lncRNA from 10 species